rnacentral:tRNA from 1 species
GAUAGAGCUCAGCCGGUAGAGUGGUCGCCUCACAUGCUCAAGACCCUGGGUUCAAUCCCCAGCA